rnacentral:rRNA from 1 species
AACGAACGCUGGCGGCAUGCCUAACACGUGCAAGUCGAACGAGACCUUCGGGUCUAGUGGCGCACGGGUGCGUAACGCGUGGGAACCUGCCCUUAGGUUCGGAAUAACUCCCCGAAAGGGGUGCUAAUACCGGAUAAUGUCUUCGGACCAAAGAUUUAUCGCCUUUGGAUGGGCCCGCGUUGGAUUAGCUAGUUGGUAGGGUAAAAGCCUACCAAGGCGACGAUCCAUAGCUGGUCUGAGAGGAUGAUCAGCCACACUGGGACUGAGACACGGCCCAGACUCCUACGGGAGGCAGCAGUGGGGAAUAUUGGACAAUGGGCGAAAGCCUGAUCCAGCAAUGCCGCGUGAGUGACGAAGGCCUUAGGGUUGUAAAGCUCUUUUACCCGGGAUGAUAAUGACAGUACCGGGAGAAUAAGCUCCGGCUAACUCCGUG